UGAAUCCUACUUUGAAUUUCCAUUAGAAGUAAAACUCUUUUACCAAAAAGCGCCUUCAUUGGUUUUUUGCCAUUUAUUUUGUAGGGAUAAAUAUUAAACUUGGCAUGCAAAUGAAUACAUGUAUGUGCCGAAGCACAUUCCAUAUUCUAUAUGAUGAAAGGGAAGCAUCAUUAUAGGUGCCAUAGAUGGAGGUCAGCAGUCAGCAGAGGAGUUUGGGUCCUGGCAUCUGGGCUGUGCGUUAAUGAGUCCUCUUCCUGUUUUCCCUGCUCCUUUUACCCUGCUCCUGACGAUUGGUGCCUGGAAAGCGUUUUCGGAGGCAUCGGUCAUGCCGAACACGAAAAAAUGGCACCAUGGCCAGAGGAGCGGCCCAAGAAGCAGAAGGAGCGGAAAGAGCAGCCGCCACGGAUGGCCAUCCAGCGGCAUGAAGACGAAUUAUUGGUUCGCCUUUUGGAAAAAUUAAAUAUCGCGUGUUGGUAAUUUCCGCUUGGCUUCCCAUUGCCGCUGCCAUCGGGUGAAGUUGAGGCGAAUUAUUACGAUGAUUAGGCGACUGACAGUGCUCCCAGGCAUCGGCAUCCACAUCCACAUCCACAUCCAUAUCCACAUCCACAUCCACGUCCAUGUCCAUGUCGACCAUCCGGCCUGCCAGCCGUGAUCUGUAUGCAUGUUUCGCUCCGCAUUUCGCAUUUCGCAACUCGCAGCCCGCAACUCGCAUUUUCGCAUUUCGCAUUGCAUGUGUUGUGCGCAGCGUUUUGUGGACAUCUUCGUGGCAUUCUGGUUUUGGUUCUGGGCGAGGAUUAAAUUACUCCAGCCAAUCCCCUGGGCAUAUCGACGGAUCCAGCCGCUGUCAAUAUUGUGUCGCCUCGUAACCCGCACGAUCCGAUGUGGAUCCGAUCGCGGUACUAGGACCAGCACACAACACACAUCACACAAGUGCCCAAAAUAAGUGGUCAUACCCAUGGACAGGUAUUGUUUCUCUACCAGGAGGUAAAGUGCACUCUAUGCAUAUGGAAAGCCGCAAAUAAAGGUUAUUGGUGUUCGAUUUAUAGGUAGUAUAUACAUAUGCAAUAAGAAUGAGCAACUUAAAACUAGUUAUUAUAGUUCAUAAACUAGUAUUAUUUCAGCUUCACAAGUUUCCACUGGCCAAAGAAGACGGGUAUACAUGUCCUUAAAUUUUGGGAUAAAAGAAAGAAAAGGAGUGUUUUGAGAUACUGUUUAGGAUCCUUUUAAGACGCCUAUAUUAACAUUUUAGUAUCGCACUACUGAAAAGUUCAAUGCACCCCCGAUCCCAAAGUGACGCGCAGAAUGACUGACAUUCUUCCAGCAUAUGAUUGACAAUGGAAACGGGCCUGAAAUUACCCAAAGAAUCGAGGGAUGGGGCUGCCCAUAUCGAUACCACAUCCGCACCGGUGGCCGAUGGUUGGGGCGUUCAUGAAAAUGGCGAUGAAUUUGCGUGAGCUUAGUGCGCAGCUCGUUCGACAUUUUUGGUAGAGGCGUAGUUAAUGUAAGGAUAAUCACAAUAUUUUAAACUUUACAGCAGCACAUCAGCACACAUUGCACACAUUGAACACAUGUGGACCGUGGUGCGCAUAUGCAUUUUUGAUUCCCGCCCAAAGCCCAUGUAGCUCGAAGUCAAUUUAUUUGCUUUCUUAUCCUCGCGUUUGAAUAAUUGGCUACCAAGUUACCUUUACGAGAUCGAAGCGAACCUUCUGCAUUUUGCGUGUGGAGCCUCCUUGGGACUCGCUCGCAUUCGGAUCCCCAUUCGCAUUCACGUUCUCUAGCAUGCAUCAAUUACAAUCAGAUUAGUUGCAUGUGAGCAGGAACCCUUUGAUGGAAAACGAUCGCGCCAGAUUAAGUCGCGAAACGAUCCCAACCGAACGGUGGACUGACUGGCUGGCCAUUCUUCUCCAGUCUCGGCACGAAUCUCGGCCUCCGCAGAGCUGGUGGAUCAAUUGAAGUGGCUGGAAUGGAGUGAACUGGACUGGACAGUGUGUAUUGGAGAUCCAUUAAACUUCUGGCACCAAUUUGGCCAGCAAAAAGUGCUUAUGGCUUUUGAGCCAGAACUGGAGUUUCGUUUACUGGCUUUCGGGUCAGAAUUCAUAAUGGUCUUAACCUAGAUUUUUAAAUGCAGUCAAUAGAACCUAAAAUGAUUCAUAAAAAAUAUAUGAAAGCGGAUUAAAGGAAAAAACUAUAUUUCAGCCUAUUGCUAUAAAAGAAAUAGUCGAAAUGUAAAAUUAUAAGCCUUUAUGACAAUUUUUAGUCUUUCUCGCCCAUUUUCGCUAAAAAAUUUGUAUUUUAUGGCCACAACAUUGGAAAUAAAGGUCCAAAUGUGGAAAGUCAUAUAUUGUUGAACUCUGAUAGGGGUCUUAUGCAUUGGUAAUUAGCUGCUAAAAACAGUUAUAGUCUUGAGUUUAUGGAUAUUUUAAGCGAAGUUAUGAUGAAAAACCCCUUUUAUAAUUAUAAGUUUUUACCGAAGAAGUUACAUAUAUACAUGUAUGUCUCUGGUUUUUCCCAUAAAUGAAUUAUAGUGUGUAUAUGCAGUAAAUAUAUUUUUAAGGACACAUAAACCUAAAGCUGUUAAAUGCUUUGAAUUUCUUAUAUCAGUCACAAUCCACUCGAUAUUGCAUUUCAAGCGAUUUUGCCCUUAAUUUGCGCCUUACAAUACCGUAAAAUGUAGGCUCGACGGGCCAGAACCACUUUUGAGUUUUCAUUUCGAUGAGAUGUAAAUAAGCAACAAGGACUUGUGUACUUUUGUAACGAAUUGCGCUUUGCAGAUACUGCAUAAUUUUGGCUCCGGAUGAUAAUGAUGAUGAAUACAACUUUUGGUAUAAAUUGCAAUUUAUUGUGUCUUGUGGUGAAAAAAAGUGUUUUUGUUUGAAUAGUUAUUUUUUUGCUCCCCUCAUUCGGCAUUGUUCUCCUCUUUUCUCCUUUUGUCCUUGUGAACAUCAAAGCUGAACCAGAGACUUUGUCAUCAGCCUUCUCUUUGCCUUUUUGUUUUUGCCAACCGGUUCGCGUCCUGACGUUGUUCUUGAAAAAGUUUUCAUUUAACACUGGGAAAUGAUUAGAAAUUUAUGUGCCUAAUAUAAUAUAUUACCAUGAACGGACUAGCAAGUGAUAUUGAUAGUUUUUCAUAUAUAAUUAUUAGGAGAGAAGGAUCAGAUUGUUUCACGAUUAGAAUACGCCCUUGAGGACUUGAAUCCCAUCAAGAUGAUAUUGGUCAACUGUAAAAUUUGAAAUGAGCAAAAGUUUGUUGUCCCAAGAAUCACGAUUAGUACAAUAUUUUGAUUGCUACCUGAAGGAUGUUGUGAAAGCAUCCUUGGAAGUGCCACUGCAUUCAGCAUAGCAACUUAUCGCAACCACGAUGUGAAAUGCCGGAAGGGUAUUCAUCCCCUUUGAUUAGCGCGUGUAAGUCGGAAAGGCUGGUUUGUUUUGUUCUGUUCUUGUUAAUGUUCCGUUUGGUGCUCCUCUGUUGAGCGGACCGAUGUCAUCCUGAGAAAGGACAUCCUAAUGAAUAUGUCAUUGUGCGCGAUAAAGUUUUCACUUUAUUGUCAGAAUUGUCUCGUUAUUAACACGAGUUGAGUUGAUCGAAACGUGGAAUGUGCGGUGAUAAGAGGCUUAGGUUUGGGCCAAGGGAUUCCCAAGACGGACGAAUUGGCAAUCGCAUUGUUUCCAGCGACAUGCAGCUACUUGAUUUCUGAAAAUGAAAAAAAAAAAAAACUCAAACCGGAUUUUAGUUGGCUUUCUGGGCUUAUUAUGUUGCAUACAUUCUGACACGCAAAGGCCUUUUUUUUACUUUAAAGCAAAAAAGGCAAACCAUGACCGCAAAAAAUCUUUGGCGAAAUCAGUUCCAAAUCGCUACGUCCUGUUUUUGUAAGAAGAUAUUUAUGAUAUUAACGAUGAAAACUGAGUCAAAGUAUCAAAAAAUACAAUUAUUAAAAUUCCGGUCUCAUGAUAGUUUAGCAUCAAGAAUAUCUAUCUUGUAUCUAGCACUUUUCUAUAACUAUCUAGAAAGGAAAAAACAGGCCUUCUCAAGCUGCAAAAUCGGCACGGUCGUAACAAGAUGACCUCUGAACUUAUUUAUAUUAACAAACAAAAAGAGAAAAAAACCCGUAUGUCCCAUAAGCCAUUUAGUGUUUGCAUAUAGAAAACAAACUCUUUAUUUAGCAUUCAAAUCGGUGGGCUAGGAAGACACGGUCCGAUUUGUUAUGUUUAUGUAACCCUUAUUCUUGUCUGUGGUAAGAGUGGAAAUUAUCACGGCGCCUCAAUGUAAAACUGGAUUAAAGGUCGCCGGACUUUGGGUCCUGUCAACGUUGCUACCAUCGUCAAUAAAUCAGCCAGUUGAAAAUUCCGUUACAGGACACGGGAUUCGUGAGAAAACGUCGUAUAAUAUCCCAAAGCCAAGAUGUUUUUCUUAUCCACAUCUAUCCCGAUGUCCGGCCAAAUGACAUUAGGGCAUUGGAAUUCUAAUCGAAAUACCGGUUGUCCGAACAACUACCAUCUAACACCAUAUCUGCAAUUACUUGUUCCGCACCAAAACGAACCGAUGUCCCGGGAACGGGUUCCCAUAACCGUGGAUGCACGGACGGAUGGCUGGGAUAGCCGGAUAUGAAUAUUAAGCAGCCGUGUGGGUAUUUAUCUAAUCUUAACAAAUGACUUGAUGUCUUCGUCACCGCUGUUAACCGUGCAGGACAUGCAAAUAAAGUUUUUACGCCAAGGUAUUUAUCUGGCGGGAAUUAGUGUCAAACUUUUCGGUCCGCAGUCCUGACAAAUGACACACAUCCAGGACGAAUUCGCAGCGCCUCCAGUUUGGCACCUUGACUGGUAGGAUAUAAGUUCAUAUUAAUAAUGCAGGAUAGUACUAAUUGGUUAUUUAAGCCAUAUAAAUUGAGUAUUUCAACUAAAAACAAUUAUAAUUAAAUGUUUUUAGUGCAAUUAAUUGCUAAAUCGAAAUCUUUUGUUUCCCUUAUAGACGUGCACCGGAAUCUGUGACAAAUCCAAGGGUAUGCAGCCCACGUAAGAACAUCAGGGGUUAGUUUUGGGCACUGUCCAUAGGAAACUGAAAUACCUAAUGAGUUCUGGAACUUUUUAACGACCAACAUUGUAUUCCUCCACAGUUGUUAUUAUAAUAACGAAAAACACACACACCUAUACACGGAUAAGUAUAUAGAUAUAUACUCCAUAUAUCCUUUCAUGUAAGCCCGAUAUGUGUGUGUGAGUGGGCCUAUAUGGCAUACUAAAUGUGGGCACUAAGCCCAGCGGUCGAGAGUGGGUUGGGGGAGGGCAUAAAAAACAAACCCCUUCACUUGUUGUUAAACAAACUCUUGCGAUUUCUAUUUUUCAUCGCCGGGACCGGUCGGUCGGUCGGUCGACCGGUCACUCUCACUACUCGAAAAGUGGUGCCGCAGAUGGCUCUGGUCCGCCUCCAAAGUGGACAGAAUUUAACGUUCCAGAGACUCGUUUAAUAAUUGCUCAGAGUGCGUGCGGUUUGGGAUGGAGAGUUGGCGGGCUGUUCAGAUGCUGGGAUGUUGGGAUGGGGGUCGAAUUGGGUCUACGUCAACCGUGUCGCUAGGCCUGUCGUACGGGACAGGCCCGUAACGGGCUGUGGGACUUAACCGGAUCCGGGACGAACCGGACAGUACUACUAACCCAUACCCUUGGCCGUAUCGUGGUGGACGGUCCGUUCAGGACCUUCCCGCGACCUUUCCCUGGACCGCUGGCAGUUGAAAUUUGUGAUAGAUGCGGUUUGCGGAGGCUGGGCGAUGGGGCGCGAGGUGUGGCACACACACACACAUACACACUCGCAGUGGCACACAACUACACACACACGCAGAGACACACGGACAGGGCGAGUGGACAGGACCUUUUGUAGCCUUAACCCCUAAGUGUCCAGAAAAGGGAUGAAACGGCUGAAAAAUGCUUACGCCGGGUUUCGAAAAUGUUAUUACGAAUAUAUUAUGCGCACAUACCAACAUAGGCAUAGGCCAACAUACAUACAUAAGUAAACUUUUACUUUUGUACAUAUGUAUAUGUACAGACAGACCUUGGUUAUAUAUUCAAAAUUAUAUGUGUUACAAACGCGUGCACAUAGUUUCUGCCACAUGGCCGCAGAUUAUAUAUACAUACCUUUGGAUAUAUUUAUAUACAAAAAUAUAUUCUAGUGUCCGGCAGUGGUCAACAGAUUUGGAUGGCUGGCCCAGCCUACGAAUGUCCUGAAAUGAGGUUAUUACGGUGGACACCAGGGGCCGGUGAUAAAGGCGUGAGUCCAUUUACCCCGGCCACAAGAACCCUUUUGUUUAGUUACCUCGACGCCCAGGAUGAAAUCGGGCUAGUAGUGUUGGCCGUAAAGUGCUCAGUGGCGAAUUAAAAAUUGACAUACUUAUACAUUUUACAGCUUACACGUGGCGAUAAAAGAUGUCCAUCUGGAUCCACACUAUGCCGCCAUCCAUCCCAUUGUUUUUUAUUUUCCACUUGCUUGAGGGGAAGGAAGAACCACUCCAGUUUGCAGUUCAUUCAUAUGCGACUUCCAUUUCCGAUUUGUUCUCAAUAAAAGUGAAAAAAAAAGAGUGCGGAGCACAUAUGCACAUAUAUCCUUCGGUCUGGUCGCAAAUUUAAUAACACUUGCAUAAAGAAAUUUCCAAGUCACGAAAUUGCUGUGCGACCUUGUGAACUUUGGUCUUAAAAAAGAAUUUAACUGAUGCCAGACGUUUGAGGAAAGUUUUACUUUAGUUAAGUAUCAUUGAGCCAAGGAGUCUAGCCAAGAACUUUGCCCAACAAGUGGGACAAAGAGUCAAUUUAACCUGUCAUUACAAAAACAUUCUUGAGAAGAUUUCUUUGAGCUGACCAAUUGGCUACAAAUUCAAUGGAAGUUGCAUUAUAGCUCUUGAUUACCCUCGUUAUUGAUGGAUUAUAAUCAAUUAAGUGCCAAAAGGGUAUUUGGGCAUAUAUAGUAUAUUAUGGCCAGUUUUCAUUAUUUUAUAUUAGUAAACAAAAGAGGAAAGGAUGGGGAAAAAUCUUAAUUAAAUGUGCCAUUCGUUUGCUUUUUGAAUGGAUAUAGUUGUUUGCUUCCUCAAAAUAGCUACAUUCUAUUCAUAUUUUUCUUAAAAGGAAACAAGAGCUCAAUUUAAAAAGUAUUUUAUAAGAUUCUUACGUUAUUAAUGAUCCAUCUAAUGAUAAGGAUUAACUAUAUAAUCAAAAGCAAAGCAGAGUAUAUAAGACACUUAAAUGAAAUCGUAGAUUUGUAGCCGCACUUGAUAUUAUUAAUAGCAUAUUAGAAUAUAUUAGCAUAUAUUAAUAGCAUAGAUUAGAUAGUUAAGUUAAGAUUUCUUAGAGAAUAUACAGCUAAUAAAUACAUUUAAUUUAUUUAAGAAUUAAGAAAAUUUAAGCGCAUCUUUGUACAAAAGGAUGUGCACACUUGACGCCCUUUUGGGCAUCUCCCGCACAAUUGACUUACCUUUGGGCGCCCUUAUGGACCAUCUUCAACCAAAUGGCAGGUGCUGAUGUUGUGAUGUUGGCCAAACCAGCUGUUGGCGACCACCGUUUUUUUUUGUUUUUCUCCUGCAUUUCCCAUUUUUUCUGCUGCACAUGACACUCCAUCGCGAACGAGCUGCAAACAACGGGCAAAAAAGGCGGACGGCAUUGAAUUACGGUCGGAGCCAUCAAAAUUGCACCAUAUGGAAAUUAAGUUGGCAACUGCCGUGAUACUCUGGGCACUACGAUGCGAGAAAGUCGCGAAAAACGGCAGCAAAAAAGCACAUCUGCAGUCGUGUGUGCAAAGGUCAAGCCGGUGGCAUUUCACCGCCAUUUCACUGCCAUUUCACCUUUCGCCGAUGCGCCAAACGCUGCGGUGAAACAAAAAGCCCCUUUUUUGGAGUGCAGGAUGCAGGGUGCAGAAUUCAGAAUUCCAAGUGAUUUGGCGAAAAAAACGCGCCGUUUAAGGGGAUUAGGCAGUCAGUUGGAAACCGCUUGCUUGUUUGCCCGGUGGCAUGCAGCUUGAUGCACUUGACCCGUUUUUUUCUUUUGCUGCCACCGCCACUUUGGAGUGCGGCGUGCAGUUCUUUAUGCCCCGGCUGCCUGCUGGAUGCGUGGCAAAGUGGUGGGAUCGGUAUACUCCUCCAUUGGAGGAGGACCAAGUCAGGCCAUCGUUUGCCAUGCGAUACUGUCGCCGAUUAGGCGGCUAUAGACGGGAAAAGUGUUUUCGGCGUGUGUUCGCCUCGAUGUUUGUUGGUUUUUGACGCGGCGCCGCGUAAAAAGCGCAUUUUUUCCACUAGAGCGUGUUUUUUUCGCGUUGCCUGCAACCUCAACUUUUCGGUCACUUUUUCUGCACUCUGACGGCUUAAUUGGUGAACAUUGUUCCCUAACACUACAUUCAUGCGACGGGGGCAUCAUAAACAACCAGCAAACUAGUCAUAACAAGUCGUUUUAGGAUCGUUUAUUGAAUGCAGUUGCUAGUUUUGCAAAUUAAGUGGCAAAAGUGGCAGCUUAGCGGUUAAAUAUUUGCUAGUUUUUAAAUAUAAAAGUAAGGAGUUGUAUAUUUCAAUACUUCAGAUUAAAUCCUUCUUACUUUUAAAGUAAAUAAUUCAUAGUUUUUCUUCACAACAUGAGAAUAUGUAGAUGCAAGAAAUGCUAGCAUAUUUUUUGGCGUUAGCCCGCUUGCUUUAAAAAUAUCUUAAGUUUAAUUGGCUUCUAUGUUCUUAGUUUCGUAAUAAAUAGAUUUUAAUAUCUUACAAUAUUCGGGAGAUAAGUUCGGUUCUAGUAAAUUGCAAUGAUGGCCACCGUUUAUAUCGACAAAAUAGACGGUUUCCAUAUGUGAGAUUUGAAAUUCAUAAGCCAGCAAUUGCAGCCUGCUUCCCUCCACCAAGUUUUAUUGUUUUUGCUAAAUCUGCACUAUUAUUAUACUAUUUUGAGAUACAGCUUAUCUAUUGUUGGGCAAGUGCUGUGUGUUAAUUGGAGAGACAUGUAUGUGUGUUUGAAUGCAUUUUCUCAAAGACCUGCAUCCGCUGGUUCUCCAUCGUCUUCAUACUUGGUCUUUCGUCCUGGCCAUAUCCUCAUCCACAUCCACGUUCUCAUCCACAUCUACAAUCACAUUUUGCAUUCUUGUACAUGGAUGGCCGCUCCUUCAUUUCCAACCGCUGUGGAUGCAUAAUUGCUUACGGUGCAGCCUGCUGGCAGGAUGAGAUGGUGAGCUGGAAAUAGAAAUCUGAAGUAAGGAAAGAUGCCGGACACGGCAGGACAUCUGCCAUUGUUCGCAUGUGUGUGUGCGUGUUUGUGUGUGUGUGUGUGUGUGCGUGUUUCAGGCUGUGCGCUUGUGUAUAUUCAAGUAUAUUUGAAUUUUCUCCUGGCGCUGGGCAUACUCGUAUAUGGCAUAUAUCCCAGUGAGUGGGGUCAGUCGUCCUGACUCCGUCUUGCUGCCAUUCUAGGUCCUGUCAAAACUAAAACGCGCCGCUGCCAGAGACCAGAGCCCUGAGUCCUGAGUCCUGCGUUCUGCGUUCUGAGUCCUGCGUCCAGACAUGCACAACUUUCGCUCCAUACAAUAUCAGCAAUUUCCUUCGUUAGUCAUUCGUUUCCUCGCAUCUCACAUCUCCGCCUUGUUGUUAUGGCUCCCACCGUUCAGCCCUGUUCAGUGCUGCGAAUUUGGGCCCGUCCCAUUAGCCCGUUUCACUUUGAUGCAGAAGCUGCCCGCCCGGGAGAAUGUUGGGCAGCCGGAGGAGGAGGUCCUUCGCUCGGACUUCGGCGUCUGGACUAGCAACCAGAGGACAUCUCGACGACGACAACUCCUAAGCUCACGUAUAUUCCACCGCCGCAUGCCGUUUGCAUGUGUGCUUGCUUCAACGCCACAUACCAUACUCCGUGCUCCGGGCUCCUAACUGCGGUCCCCAAUCUCCGAUCCCCCGUGUCCUCGAUAUGACCAGACCCAAAAACCCCGGACACACUUGGAGUCGGUGGGCAUACUCAUACAUGGACACAUAAUGUAAAUGUCCGCAAUUUCUUUUUGGCCAUCUCUUAGCUGCCGCUGCGUUCUUGCCAUUUAGACUGGGCAUCGAAUACGAGUACGGGCAUGUGGCCACCACCUCCGCCUCCGCCUCCAGCUUCUCAUUUUCCAGCUCCAUCUCCUUACUCCCUCCCUCGUUACGGCGCAAAUCGCCGGACUGCGACUACGACUACGACGAAGGCGCAGAGCAGCGGAGAUUGCUUCUGCUGGCGCUGCCGCUGCCUUCGUCACCACUUUUCCAUCAUAGCACCCAACCACCUGGCGCCAAAGGCAAGUCGAUCGAUAAUUUCCAUAGUUGACCACUGCUGUGUAUGCGAAUUUUGAAGCGGACAUCUACACAAACACAUGGCCAGCGGACGGAGGCAUCCUUUGGCCACCGCACCAUCGCCCCAACGGCCCACCGAUCCGCCACCCACCGCACAUCCACAUCCACAUCCACAUCCAUAUCCACGUCCACGUCCGCCCACCGGCACACAUACUGGCGCACACUCUUAGACGUUACAGCAGCGAGCUGAAGGCAGAGCCAAGCUUUCUAGUAGCACACACGCACAGCAGCGGCCACGAAACUAGCACUGAGAUUAUGAAAUCCUCACCUUUCGCUUUUUAUUCGAAUAAUUUAAAAUAAAAUAUAACUAAGUUGGCUUAAGCAUUAAGCAUAAGUAGUGCAUACUAAUCAAUAAUAUAAAUAACUAAUUGAGAAAUUUCUUUAAAAUACUUGAUGGACUUAAUCUAAAGUUCUAUAGAAUGUAUUUUGGGUACGCAAUCUUCAUAGGCAGCAUCUGUAGACCUACCAUUUCGUCACCUGCUGUUUGCAGCAUCUACGUCAACGGUCCUGGCCAGCAUGGACAUCAGGCUCUGGCUAUCAGGGAUCCGAGCGAAUGGGUAGGUGGGCAGCCAAGUGGGGCGGAUGACGUGGGUUGGGUGGGGUGUUUCGUUGGCAACGGCAAAAGCAAAGGCAACCGUGCUGGUCAGCCGGGCCCACAAUAAGUAAGGGUCUGCCAUGAAGAUAAAACGAAGACCAAGGAACGAACUGUUUCUGCAAAAUGUUGUUUGCAUACGACUUGCGACAUGUGAAAAGGAUAAGAGUGAAUGUGUGUGUGUGUGUGUGUGCGUGUGGAAGGAGGUGGGCGGGGGUGUAUGUGUGUGUGAGUGAGUGAGUGAGUGAGUAGGUGGGCGGAUGGGUGGUUGGUUAGUGGGUCUGUUGGCCGCUGUAUGUAUACGUGCAUUUAGAUGGACGGGAAAGCGGACGUUGGCGGCAAAUACGUGAGUGGGAGUCCGGCGCGUUUGGGGACCUCGGACUCGUCGUGGGCAAUUGCCACGACCACCGGAGUGGGUGGUGGGUUGGUGGUGGUCCGGGCUGGUCCAGGGCGGUGCGGAAUGGGCCUGGUCAAGCCACGCGGCUGGGAUAGACGACUUGAUGGUUCGAAUGUGGACGGAGCGCCGUGGAGUGGAGUGGAGUGAAGUGGCAUGGCGUGGCGUGGCAUGGAGAUGUGGCGAUGCUUAGAUGGUGGAUGCGGAGGAGGAAGGCGAAGGUUUUCCAGAGCAACGGCUACGGUUCUCGAGCAGCUUUUGGCGGAGUGGGUGGCUUGGGUGGCCUUUCGAAUGCUUGACUGCCCAGCGAGUGAGUGAGUGGGUGGUUUGGUGGCUGGAUGGUGAGUGGACGACGCAAAGAUGUACGCUAGGCGAUUGUAAAAUUUCACAUUUUAGAGAAUUAGACGUUUACUGGGAUACAAGCACACUCCCACACACAAGCACACACAUACACACACACAGACUCACACACAUGUCCGGUCAUCUAUUGCUUAAAUUUAAGAAUGUGUAUAUAUGCAUGUAUUCGUUUGUAUGUACGCAACCUGUGAACAAUAUACGUGAGUUUGAGGGUUCUUCGUUGGCAUAUGUAUGUAUAUACAUAUGUAUAUGUAUUUUUGGGUUUGGCUCUGCGAAAGUUUGGAAUCUUGUAUAUAAGUAGUAGAUGCCACUGCCUUUCGGCCAUGUAUAAAAUAUCAAAAUUUUGCUUAGACAUUAAUUUGCCAGCAAGUACACGGCGAUACACAGCUAACCGCACAUGCAUAUCUAUAUGCGUAUGUAUAUAUCUCAACAGUAUCGAGCUUAUGGUUGGUUUUAAUAUUUUCUGAUUGUUGUAUAUUUAAGAUUUUAGGCAGACGUCGCCUGCAUCUUGCCAUAUUGCCAUUUUGCCAUCUUGCCAUCUUGCAAUCCUGCAAGGCAAGCCAUCUAGUCGUCCUGCAUCCGUAAUACGUUUGUAAUUAGUCUAAUGUACCUUCUCCUUGUGGCUGCCCGAAUCCCCAAUUAAUUUCAGCAUGCGCUAUUUUCACCGCUGCAAUACGCAUCCUGGUGCAUCAAAUUCUAUUUUGCUUAGGUUGCUGAUAAUUAGAAAGACGCAGGAACAAAGGAAUAGUAAAGAUAGUACAGAAUUUAUAUUACAUAUAAUUUUUAAACUCAAAUUUUUAGCUUAACGUAUAAAGCCUCGGCAAACAAAAGGCAACAGAUCUUGAAUUUUAUGUAUAUUUUAUCGAUUCACGAAGGUCGAACAAAUCGCCCUUAAAGUUCACAAGGUAAUAACAUUUCCGUCAGUCUGUCAAUGUAAGACGCACCCUUCGCAUCGAAAAAAUCUAAUACUUGGAGAGCUGUCGUAACCAUUUUAUGAUGGUUUUUACACACAAGAUGACCGUAUUUACAUAUAUUUACGAGUCUGACACGCAAUCUCUUACAUAGUAAAAUAGGUGUACAUAUUAACUGCCCUAAUCGCAUCGAUUUGGUAUUUAUGUUGAUAGUGGAUUUAUUAAGUGCAGAUACUUAUUGGGGCACUACUUUGUUAAUAAAGCCGUAGAAUUAGGGGAAUAAAUCGAAUUAGAGCAUAAUUGCGUAAGUAUUUUGUAAGUGAUUAGGUGUUUGCUUCAUUUAUGUAUAUGAAUGAAGGAACAAAUCAAUUUUUUUUUAAUGUCUGCGCCAGAAAAUGAUUUUCUUAGAUUUAAAAAAAAAAUUGCGUAUACGACCCGUUGGACAUAAUUGAUUUCGCUUCUAGACAUUUUUAAUAUUGUACAGAAAUAUAAGUAAGCAGGAAUAUAGUGAAAAGUAAAUUUUAAUUAAGGCAACUAUUUCGCAUUGCUCCUUACAAGAGAAAUUAAGAAACCUGUGAAAUCGCGUAUACGCCAUGUUUACCGCGGGUAAGUACACUAGUACAUAAGUAGUUACUUUAUUUUAAAUCCUGUAAAUAAUAUGAUGCGUUACUUUAUUAGUAAAUAUACUCAUUGAUGGUUUCGUGCAGCUAGAUACUUAUUUCUUUCUCUUGUAUUAAGUUGAAUCACAAAUGCCAAUAGAACAUUGGCUAAGUUAUCGGUUAUUUAUUCAAUUAAAUGCGUAAAUCUUUUUCCACCAACUCAAACCUGUUGCGAAAAAGUGCUCCCUAAUCGUUUCGUUGGCCUUGAACGGGGGCCAUUGACGCCAUGAAUGUGUAACAUCCUCAUUUGAGGUUCAAGGUUAUGAUUAUUUACGACAAAGUAUGUACUUCCGUACAUGAUUGCCGGACAUAUACAUAGGCAUAUGUACCAUGUGCAGAGCCCGCAUGCAUGUGCAUUGGGUUCCCCGCAUGCACAUGCCCAUGCCCAUUUAUAACUAAGUACCUACUUAUGGACCCCGCUGGCGGGAGGCUGGCAAACGGCAUAAAUGCAGCUGAAUGCAGCUCAUUAUCAUUUAAAUACGCAGUGUGCUGGCCUAAUUUGCAGGAAUGCGUUAGUGUGCGUGCGUCUGUGUUGGUGUUGACUUGACUAUUUAUGAGCCAAAAGCAACAAACGUGCUCCACUCAAGCACAUGCAGUGGCAUAUACCGGCUUAUACAUAAACGCAAUUAUAGGGACAUAAAUGUGUACAUAAUUAUAAUGCACAUUAUAACGUCUAGCCACAUAGCACAAUUCGGUUGUCCUUACAGGAAGUCCGAAUUAUAGUAAAUACUUGGUCACUCAGGCGAGUAAAUAAAUGCAUACAACCCGUGCACAUACUUAACUGAAUGAGUUGUUUGAUUUCAUUGCCAAUUGAGAGCCCAGUGGCCUUGUGAUUUAAAUGCAUUGUACAUAGUGACAUUCACACAUAAUAAGUCAGUUAAACAAUUGUGUCAUGCUUAAUUAGCACAGCUCAUGCUACGAAAUGGCUUUUGAUUUCUACACAAAUUAGGUGUAAAUAAUAAAAGAAGCUGAAUAAAACUAAUUGAGAAUACAUUCAUAAGA
ensembl:ncRNA lncRNA:CR46474 long non-coding RNA:CR46474